rnacentral:rRNA from 1 species
CUACGGGUGGCUGCAGUGGGGAAUAUUGCACAAUGGGCGCAAGCCUGAUGCAGCCAUGCCGCGUGUAUGAAGAAGGCCUUCGGGUUGUAAAGUACUUUCAGCGGGGAGGAAGGGAGUAAAGUUAAUACCUUUGCUCAUUGACGUUACCCGCAGAAGAAGCACCGGCUAACUCCGUGCCAGCAGCCGCGGUAAUACGGAGGGUGCAAGCGUUAAUCGGAAUUACUGGGCGUAAAGCGCACGCAGGCGGUUUGUUAAGUCAGAUGUGAAAUCCCCGGGCUCAACCUGGGAACUGCAUCUGAUACUGGCAAGCUUGAGUCUCGUAGAGGGGGGUAGAAUUCCAGGUGUAGCGGUGAAAUGCGUAGAGAUCUGGAGGAAUACCGGUGGCGAAGGCGGCCCCCUGGACGAAGACUGACGCUCAGGUGCGAAAGCGUGGGGAGCAAACAGGAUUAGAUACCCCUGUACUC